AACGAACGCUGGCGGCAUGCCUAACACAUGCAAGUCGAACGAGACCUUCGGGUCUAGUGGCGCACGGGUGCGUAACGCGUGGGAACCUGCCCUUAGGUUCGGAAUAACUCCCCGAAAGGGGUGCUAAUACCGGAUAAUGUCUUCGGACCAAAGAUUUAUCGCCUUUGGAUGGGCCCGCGUUGGAUUAGCUAGUUGGUAGGGUAAAAGCCUACCAAGGCGACGAUCCAUAGAUGGUCUGAGAGGAUGAUCAGCCACACUGGGACUGAGACACGGCCCAGACUCCUACGGGAGGCAGCAGUGGGGAAUAUUGGACAAUGGGCGAAAGGCUGAUCCAGCAAUGCCGCGUGAGUGAUGAAGGCCUUAGGGUUGUAAAGCGCUUUUACCCGGGAUGAUAAUGACAGUACCGGGAGAAUAAGCUCCGGCUAACUCCGUG
rnacentral:rRNA from 1 species